rnacentral:snRNA from 1 species
GGGUAUGCAGACAAUUUGGCUGUAACAUCUGUCACCCCAUUGACCACCAAGGCUGACACAAAUGCUCUGGCUGGCUGGGCAGGUGUCCCGUUCCCCCAUCACUGUUCCAUGUACUGUUCCAUGUGUCCCUCCUGAAGCUGUGUGCUCAGUUGAAGAGGAUAGUCUUUCCCAAAUAGAAGACCAGUCUUCAAUCAGGGCCAUAAGAGUAGCUGCACAGCCUGCUAGAACCUCCAAACAAGCUCUCAAAAGCCCACACCAAACCUGCCUGCUGCCUGUGGAUCAGAAUGUAAAGCUCUCAGGUUCUUCUCCAGCACCAUGUCUAGCUGUGUGCUCCCU